GUAUGUCCAAAGCUUGAGGGUUGCUGAAUUCAGCUGCGAUCCCCAGAGGAGUCACCCCAUAAAUGUCUCUGGCAGUUACUUUGGCUCCGUGUCGAAGGAGCAGCAUCAGAAUAUCUGGACAACCCACCUGAUGCAAGAGCUUCGUGGGUCGCCGUCCGCUUGGACUGACACACCUGCUCCACAAAGGCCCCGCCCAUGAUGAGGGACGCCACCAUGUCGUAUGACCGCUGCCUCACCGCUGCAACAUGGAGAAAACACAAGGCGAUGAGAUAGGAAGCCAGAUAAGUAGAAAGCUAAUGCUUACAGGAGAUGUUUUAACAAUUCUACUGUCACGCCAGCAGCUCUGUGAGGGUAAGCACUGCUUUGAGCUAACAGGCUAGCCUGCGCACAGAUGCAAUGCUAACUUUUGCCGCCUAGUUUUAGCGCGUUGGCGUGCAAACAUUUGAUAAUUAACGCACACAAAGUGAAUAGAGUUGUUUAUUAAAACAACAUGCCGACAUUUGUAACUGCAAUUCAUCCGAAUUCAAACUCUUGAGACAGUAAAAGUACAAGACAAGUACUAUCAGCAAAUAUACUUGAAAGUAUCAAAAGUACUUAUCAUGCAGAUUGGCUCUUCCAGUGUGUUCUACGAUUACAGAGUAUAUCAAAGAUACGUUUUAGUGUUGUUGUUGUUUUCAAUGUUGAGCUAAUUUUAGACACUUUGUACACUACUGGGCAUGUCAGUAAUGUAAUACUGCAUUAUAUCAUACUUAAGUGCUUCAGUAAAUCUCGGUGUCGUAUCGUCUGCGACUGGUUGUGUCAGUUACUUGAAGACAUUUCACCUCUCAACCAAGAGGAUUCCUCAGUUCUAACCAACUGGAGGGGUGUCGGUCAGCUUUUUAGACUCUGUGUGGGUGUGACACACCAGAUAUCCAGUUAGUCAGACCUGAAGAAGCUUCUUGGAUGAGAGGUGAAAUGUCUUCAAGAAAACUGAAACAAGUCCAGCUGCCGACGAUACAGCACGUAGAUGUACAAUGACCUGAGGGACUGAGGAUUUUCAUCGACACGUCUGCUUGAGUAAAAACUAAACUUUACACCGCUGUAAUAAUUAAAAAUCAUGCUCUAACAGCCAAUUUGUGAAGCAUUUACUAAUGAUCAACUGUAAAAAUAAAGUUAUUUGAAACCUUUUUUUGUGAAAUCGUUAUCCACUGAUAAAUAUGUUUACGAACAAGCUGUCGAUAAGGGAUAAGUGACUGUGUAUGCAUUGUGUUGAGUUUGUGUGCAUGUGUGUGUCUACCGAUCAGCAGAGGAGACUCGUUCCUGCCGUUGGUGCUGUGCGGCGAGGCUCCUUGCAACAGCAGCAUCUUGACGUUUGCCAUCAGGCCGGCCUCCGCUGCCAGGGUCAGAGCCGUGUCCCCGUCCUCCGUCGGCUCCUCCAGGGUCAGACUCCACACCCAGCCUGUUGAACCCUCACCCUGCAGCACCACACGCAGGACAUCCUGCAGCGGCUGCACGGCUGCUGCGUGCAGAGCCAACCAGCCCCUGCCGUCCCUCUCUCUGAAGGCUGGCAGGCAGCCCGACAGCCCCUGCAGCGCAUACACGUCACCUGGGGAGACACAACCCAACACUUGUUGUCCAUUCACGUCAAUUGGGAUAUCCUUGUGCUAAACCAUGAGUUAAAUUUGACCCUUACCCUUUUGAAUGGCUGCCAUUAUCUUCAGGAAGUCCUCACUGUUUACU